ensembl:lncRNA
GUGACAGCCACCGUGCUCACCGUCAGGAGCUGGACAGUCCCGGGGCCUGAGGAAGCGCUGCAGCCACCCACCGAAGGUUUCCAAGCAGAGCGCUGGCAGUGGCUGCUCCCCCUUCCUCCAGUGAGCCUGCUUUUCCAUACUGGAAGAAGAUGAAAUGCACAUUUCAGAAUAACAACUGAUUGACAUCAGAGAAGAUGGAAAUCUAUAGCCAAAUUUUAACAAAAGUCUUUCCAUAAUUGGUGAAUGAAAUUUAGUUAAAACAGCCAAUAAAGAAAAUUAUGGAUUUAUGUUUCUUCAUGAGACAUAUUCCUUAGUUGCAAAAACCACUACAACAAAACACUGGAGAAAAUGAAUUAACAAACAUUUAAAUGAUUGUUGGACUAUAAAGAAAGCUGAGUGCCAAAGAAUUGAUACAUUUGAACUAUGGUGGUGGAGAAGACUCUUGAGAGUCCCCUGGACUGCAUGGAGAUCGAACCCAUCCAUCCUAAAGGAAAUCAAUACUGAAUAUUCAUUGGAAG